CACGUAGGGCGCAAGCGUUGUCCGGAAUUAUUGGGCGUAAAGAGCUCGUAGGCGGUCUGUUGCGUCCGCUGUGAAAACUCGGGGCUUAACCCCGAGCCUGCAGUGGAUACGGGCAGACUAGAGGUAGGUAGGGGAGAAUGGAAUUCCCGGUGUAGCGGUGAAAUGCGCAGAUAUCGGGAGGAACACCGGUGGCGAAGGCGGUUCUCUGGGCCUUACCUGACGCUGAGCACGCGAAAGCGUGGGGAGCGAAC
rnacentral:rRNA from 1 species